rnacentral:lncRNA from 1 species
AAGAGGCCCCUCUCCAUCGUGAGGAUGUAACAACAAUGACAUCACCGUCAGAAUGAUCACAGUCAGCGUUUAGUGAGUGUUUACUACGUGCCAAGAGCUGUCCUGGGGCUUUGCAUACGUUCUGUCCUCUCCUCAUAAUAACCGUGAGAAUCUCACAAAGUCACCAAGUUGCCCAGGCCGGGCUAGAACUUGUGAGCCUCCUGCCUGAGGCCUUUCCAGAGUGCUUUCCAACGUGCUGGGGUUACAAGUGGGCACCACUGUGCUCAGGUUUAGAAGUUUCAGUCCAUGAUUGGUUGACCUGGUUGCUUUGGGCCUGGUGAGAGGCAGCAGCAUCACGGCAGGUAAGUGUGGUACAGCAAAGCUGCUCACUUCAUGGUCAGGACAAAAGAAGAAAAGAGGAAGGGACUGGACUUCCACAAUCCCCUCUGAGACCAUGCCCCCAAAGACCUAAAGACCUCCCAUUACACCCGACCUUUCAAGGUUUCCAACACCUCCAAGAGUGCCAAGCUGGGGACCACAUCUUUACCACAUAGACCUCUGGGUCCCAUUCCAGAUCCCAACAGUAUCAGGCAGCAUAAAUAAAAAUUUCAGUAGAGCCAGGGAUUUAGCUCAGUGGCACUGUGCCUGCCUCACAAAUGCAAGAUCCUUGAGUUCAAUACCCGAUAUAUAUAUUUCAAUAGGGCUGGGGAUUUAGCUCAGUGGUUCUGGCACCUGCCUCGCAAGUGCAAGGUCCCGAGUUUGAUCCCUGGUACCAAAAAAACUCCAACAACACACAUAUAUAUAUUUCAAUAGAAAGGUUGUAAAAUAAAGCUGAGGGAAUGUCCAAAAUGGUGAAGCAAUUGGACAGAUGGAAAAUAUACAAGCAAAAAUAAAACAAGUUAGAGUUCCAAAUUCCAGA